rnacentral:rRNA from 1 species
GGUUAAGUUAGAAAGGGCGCACGGUGGAUGCCUUGACACUAGGAGUCGAUGAAGGACGGGACUAACGCCGAUAUGCUUCGGGGAGCUGUAAGUAAGCUUUGAUCCGAAGAUUUCCGAAUGGGGAAACCCACCAUACGUAAUGGUAUGGUAUCCUUAUCUGAAUACAUAGGGUAAGGAAGACAGACCCAGGGAACUGAAACAUCUAAGUACCUGGAGGAAGAGAAAGCAAAUGCGAUUUCCUGAGUAGCGGCGAGCGAAACGGAACAUAGCCCAAACCAAGAGGCUUGCCUCUUGGGGUUGUAGGACAUUCUAUACGGAGUUACAAAGGAACGAGGUAGACGAAGCGACCUGGAAAGGUCCGUCGUAGAGGGUAACAACCCCGUAGUCGAAACUUCGUUCUCUCUUGAAUGUAUCCUGAGUACGGCGGAACACGUGAAAUUCCGUCGGAAUCUGGGAGGACCAUCUCCCAAGGCUAAAUACUCCCUAGUGAUCGAUAGUGAACCAGUACCGUGAGGGAAAGGUGAAAAGCACCCCGGAAGGGGAGUGAAAGAGAUCCUGAAACCGUGUGCCUACAAAUAGUCAGAGCCCGUUAACGGGUGAUGGCGUGCCUUUUGUAGAAUGAACCGGCGAGUUACGAUCCCGUGCGAGGUUAAGCUGAAGAGGCGGAGCCGCAGCGAAAGCGAGUCUGAAUAGGGCGUUUAGUACGUGGUCGUAGACCCGAAACCAGGUGAUCUACCCAUGUCCAGGGUGAAGUUCAGGUAACACUGAAUGGAGGCCCGAACCCACGCACGUUGAAAAGUGCGGGGAUGAGGUGUGGGUAGCGGAGAAAUUCCAAUCGAACCUGGAGAUAGCUGGUUCUCCCCGAAAUAGCUUUAGGGCUAGCCUUAAGUGUAAGAGUCUUGGAGGUAGAGCACUGAUUGGACUAGGGGUCCUCAUCGGAUUACCGAAUUCAGUCAAACUCCGAAUGCCAAUGACUUAUCCUUAGGAGUCAGACUGCGAGUGAUAAGAUCCGUAGUCAAAAGGGAAACAGCCCAGACCGCCAGCUAAGGUCCCAAAGUGUGUAUUAAGUGGAAAAGGAUGUGGAGUUGCUUAGACAACUAGGAUGUUGGCUUAGAAGCAGCCACCAUUUAAAGAGUGCGUAAUAGCUCACUAGUCGAGUGACUCUGCGCCGAAAAUGUACCGGGGCUAAAUACACCACCGAAGCUGCGGAUUGAUACCAAUGGUAUCAAUGGUAGGGGAGCGUUCUAAGGACAGUGAAGUCAGACCGGAAGGACUGGUGGAGUGCUUAGAAGUGAGAAUGCCGGUAUGAGUAGCGAAAGACGGGUGAGAAUCCCGUCCACCGAAUGCCUAAGGUUUCCUGAGGAAGGCUCGUCCGCUCAGGGUUAGUCAGGACCUAAGCCGAGGCCGACAGGCGUAGGCGAUGGACAACAGGUUGAUAUUCCUGUACCACCUCUUUAUCGUUUGAGCAAUGGAGGGACGCAGAAGGAUAGAAGAAGCGUGCGAUUGGUUGUGCACGUCCAAGCAGUUAGGCUGAUAAGUAGGCAAAUCCGCUUAUCGUGAAGGCUGAGCUGUGAUGGGGAAGCUCCUUAUGGAGCGAAGUCUUUGAUUCCCCGCUGCCAAGAAAAGCUUCUAGCGAGAUAAAAGGUGCCUGUACCGCAAACCGACACAGGUAGGCGAGGAGAGAAUCCUAAGGUGUGCGAGAGAACUCUGGUUAAGGAACUCGGCAAAAUGACCCCGUAACUUCGGGAGAAGGGGUGCUUUCUUAACGGAAAGCCGCAGUGAAUAGGCCCAAGCGACUGUUUAGCAAAAACACAGCUCUCUGCGAAGCCGUAAGGCGAAGUAUAGGGGGUGACACCUGCCCGGUGCUGGAAGGUUAAGGAGAGGGGUUAGCGUAAGCGAAGCUCUGAACUGAAGCCCCAGUAAACGGCGGCCGUAACUAUAACGGUCCUAAGGUAGCGAAAUUCCUUGUCGGGUAAGUUCCGACCCGCACGAAAGGUGUAACGAUUUGGGCACUGUCUCAACCAGAGACUCGGUGAAAUUAUAGUACCUGUGAAGAUGCAGGUUACCCGCGACAGGACGGAAAGACCCCGUGGAGCUUUACUGUAGCCUGAUAUUGAAUUUUGGUACAGUUUGUACAGGAUAGGCGGGAGCCAUUGAAAUCGGAGCGCUAGCUUCGGUGGAGGCGCUGGUGGGAUACCGCCCUGACUGUAUUGAAAUUCUAACCUACGGGUCUUAUCGACCCGGGAGACAGUGUCAGGUGGGCAGUUUGACUGGGGCGGUCGCCUCCUAAAGUGUAACGGAGGCGCCCAAAGGUUCCCUCAGAAUGGUUGGAAAUCAUUCGUAGAGUGCAAAGGCAUAAGGGAGCUUGACUGCGAGACCUACAAGUCGAGCAGGGACGAAAGUCGGGCUUAGUGAUCCGGUGGUUCCGCAUGGAAGGGCCAUCGCUCAACGGAUAAAAGCUACCCCGGGGAUAACAGGCUUAUCUCCCCCAAGAGUCCACAUCGACGGGGAGGUUUGGCACCUCGAUGUCGGCUCAUCGCAUCCUGGGGCUGUAGUCGGUCCCAAGGGUUGGGCUGUUCGCCCAUUAAAGCGGUACGCGAGCUGGGUUCAGAACGUCGUGAGACAGUUCGGUCCCUAUCCGUCGUGGGCGUAGGAAAUUUGAGAGGAGCUGUCCUUAGUACGAGAGGACCGGGAUGGACGCACCGCUGGUGUACCAGUUGUUCUGCCAAGGGCAUAGCUGGGUAGCUAUGUGCGGAAGGGAUAAGUGCUGAAAGCAUCUAAGCAUGAAGCCCCCCUCAAGAUGAGAUUUCCCAUAGCGUAAGCUAGUAAGAUCCCUGAAAGAUGAUCAGGUUGAUAGGUUCGAGGUGGAAGCAUGGUGACAUGUGGAGCUGACGAAUACUAAUAGAUCGAGGACUUAACCAU